CAGUCGCCGCGGGAAUACGUAGGGUGCAAGCGUUAAUCGGAAUUACUGGGCGUAAAGCGUGCGCAGGCGGUUAUAUAAGACAGAUGUGAAAUCCCCGGGCUCAACCUGGGAACUGCAUUUGUGACUGUAUAGCUAGAGUACGGCAGAGGGGGAUGGAAUUCCGCGUGUAGCAGUGAAAUGCGUAGAUAUGCGGAGGAACACCGAUGGCGAAGGCAAUCCCCUGGGCCUGUACUGACGCUCAUGCACGAAAGCGUGGGGAGCAAACAGGAUUAGAUACCUCUGUAGUCCCUGUCUCUUAUAC
rnacentral:rRNA from 1 species